AUAAGUUGGUGGUCUUAAAGUAUAUUUUGUUGGAACUAUACAUAGAUCAGCAUUGCGCCAGUGCAAGGAUGACACACAAAUUCAUAAAGCAUCCCAUAACUUU
ensembl:snRNA U6 U6 spliceosomal RNA